rnacentral:rRNA from 1 species
AACGAACGCUGGCGGCAGGCCUAACACAUGCAAGUCGAACGCUCCGCAAGGGGGAGUGGCGCACGGGUGAGUAACACGUGGGAACCUACCUUCUGGUACGGAACAACCAAGGGAAACUUUGGCUAAGACCGUAUACGACCUCCGGGUGAAAGAUUGAUCGCCGGAAGAGGGGCCCGUGUCCGAUUAGGUAGUUGGUGAGGUAACGGCUCACCAAGCCUUCGAUCGGUAGCUGGUCUGAGAGGAUGACCAGCCACACUGGGACUGAGACACGGCCCAGACUCCUACGGGAGGCAGCAGUGGGGAAUAUUGGACAAUGGGCGCAAGCCUGAUCCAGCCAUGCCGCGUGAGUGAUG